GGGUUGUGAGGUUAAGCGACUAAGCGUACACGGUGGAUGCCCUGGCAGUCAGAGGCGAUGAAGGACGUGCUAAUCUGCGAUAAGCGUCGGUAAGGUGAUAUGAACCGUUAUAACCGGCGAUUUCCGAAUGGGGAAACCCAGUGUGUUUCGACACACUAUCAUUAACUGAAUCCAUAGGUUAAUGAGGCGAACCGGGGGAACUGAAACAUCUAAGUACCCCGAGGAAAAGAAAUCAACCGAGAUUCCCCCAGUAGCGGCGAGCGAACGGGGAGGAGCCCAGAGCCUGAAUCAGUGUGUGUGUUAGUGGAAGCGUCUGGAAAGGCGCGCGAUACAGGGUGACAGCCCCGUACACAAAAAUACACAUAUUGUGAGCUCGAUGAGUAGGGCGGGACACGUGGUAUCCUGUCUGAAUAUGGGGGGACCAUCCUCCAAGGCUAAAUACUCCUGACUGACCGAUAGUGAACCAGUACCGUGAGGGAAAGGCGAAAAGAACCCCGGCGAGGGGAGUGAAAAAGAACCUGAAACCGUGUACGUACAAGCAGUGGGAGCACGCUUAGGCGUGUGACUGCGUACCUUUUGUAUAAUGGGUCAGCGACUUAUAUUCUGUAGCAAGGUUAACCGAAUAGGGGAGCCGAAGGGAAACCGAGUCUUAACUGGGCGUUAAGUUGCAGGGUAUAGACCCGAAACCCGGUGAUCUAGCCAUGGGCAGGUUGAAGGUUGGGUAACACUAACUGGAGGACCGAACCGACUAAUGUUGAAAAAUUAGCGGAUGACUUGUGGCUGGGGGUGAAAGGCCAAUCAAACCGGGAGAUAGCUGGUUCUCCCCGAAAGCUAUUUAGGUAGCGCCUCGUGAAUUCAUCUCCGGGGGUAGAGCACUGUUUCGGCAAGGGGUCAUCCCGACUUACCAACCCGAUGCAAACUGCGAAUACCGGAGAAUGUUAUCACGGGAGACACACGGCGGGUGCUAACGUCCGUCGUGAAGAGGGAAACAACCCAGACCGCCAGCUAAGGUCCCAAAGUCAUGGUUAAGUGGGAAACGAUGUGGGAAGGCCCAGACAGCCAGGAUGUUGGCUUAGAAGCAGCCAUCAUUUAAAGAAAGCGUAAUAGCUCACUGGUCGAGUCGGCCUGCGCGGAAGAUGUAACGGGGCUAAACCAUGCACCGAAGCUGCGGCAGCGACGCUUAUGCGUUGUUGGGUAGGGGAGCGUUCUGUAAGCCUGCGAAGGUGUGCUGUGAGGCAUGCUGGAGGUAUCAGAAGUGCGAAUGCUGACAUAAGUAACGAUAAAGCGGGUGAAAAGCCCGCUCGCCGGAAGACCAAGGGUUCCUGUCCAACGUUAAUCGGGGCAGGGUGAGUCGACCCCUAAGGCGAGGCCGAAAGGCGUAGUCGAUGGGAAACAGGUUAAUAUUCCUGUACUUGGUGUUACUGCGAAGGGGGGACGGAGAAGGCUAUGUUGGCCGGGCGACGGUUGUCCCGGUUUAAGCGUGUAGGCUGGUUUUCCAGGCAAAUCCGGAAAAUCAAGGCUGAGGCGUGAUGACGAGGCACUACGGUGCUGAAGCAACAAAUGCCCUGCUUCCAGGAAAAGCCUCUAAGCAUCAGGUAACAUCAAAUCGUACCCCAAACCGACACAGGUGGUCAGGUAGAGAAUACCAAGGCGCUUGAGAGAACUCGGGUGAAGGAACUAGGCAAAAUGGUGCCGUAACUUCGGGAGAAGGCACGCUGAUAUGUAGGUGAAGUCCCUUGCGGAUGGAGCUGAAAUCAGUCGAAGAUACCAGCUGGCUGCAACUGUUUAUUAAAAACACAGCACUGUGCAAACACGAAAGUGGACGUAUACGGUGUGACGCCUGCCCGGUGCCGGAAGGUUAAUUGAUGGGGUCAGCGCAAGCGAAGCUCUUGAUCGAAGCCCCGGUAAACGGCGGCCGUAACUAUAACGGUCCUAAGGUAGCGAAAUUCCUUGUCGGGUAAGUUCCGACCUGCACGAAUGGCGUAAUGAUGGCCAGGCUGUCUCCACCCGAGACUCAGUGAAAUUGAACUCGCUGUGAAGAUGCAGUGUACCCGCGGCAAGACGGAAAGACCCCGUGAACCUUUACUAUAGCUUGACACUGAACAUUGAGCCUUGAUGUGUAGGAUAGGUGGGAGGCUUUGAAGUGUGGACGCCAGUCUGCAUGGAGCCGGCCUUGAAAUACCACCCUUUAAUGUUUGAUGUUCUAACGUGGACCCGUGAUCCGGGUUGCGGACAGUGUCUGGUGGGUAGUUUGACUGGGGCGGUCUCCUCCUAAAGAGUAACGGAGGAGCACGAAGGUUGGCUAAUCCUGGUCGGACAUCAGGAGGUUAGUGCAAUGGCAUAAGCCAGCUUGACUGCGAGCGUGACGGCGCGAGCAGGUGCGAAAGCAGGUCAUAGUGAUCCGGUGGUUCUGAAUGGAAGGGCCAUCGCUCAACGGAUAAAAGGUACUCCGGGGAUAACAGGCUGAUACCGCCCAAGAGUUCAUAUCGACGGCGGUGUUUGGCACCUCGAUGUCGGCUCAUCACAUCCUGGGGCUGAAGUAGGUCCCAAGGGUAUGGCUGUUCGCCAUUUAAAGUGGUACGCGAGCUGGGUUUAGAACGUCGUGAGACAGUUCGGUCCCUAUCUGCCGUGGGCGCUGGAGAACUGAGGGGGGCUGCUCCUAGUACGAGAGGACCGGAGUGGACGCAUCACUGGUGUUCGGGUUGUCAUGCCAAUGGCACUGCCCGGUAGCUAAAUGCGGAAGAGAUAAGUGCUGAAAGCAUCUAAGCACGAAACUUGCCCCGAGAUGAGUUCUCCCUGACCCUUUAAGGGUCCUGAAGGAACGUUGAAGACGACGACGUUGAUAGGCCGGGUGUGUAAGCGCAGCGAUGCGUUGAGCUAACCGGUACUAAUGAACCGUGAGGCUUAACCUUACAACGCCGAAGGUGUUU
rnacentral:rRNA from 1 species